UGAAUUUACAACAAUCUAUUUUUCAAUUAUCUACCAAAAAAUAUUACCACUUUUAAUAAACUAUGUUCUUAAAAAUACAUAUAACAACAUUUUCCUUGUAGAUCUGUCAAGCUCUACCAUGUCUUCAAUACAUAAACCUUUGAAAAGAAAGACUAUCCAUCGGCAACGUCCACAAUCAACAAAUAUUGUAUGUAACAAAAAUCUGUUAUUUAUAAGAGAAAGCAAAAUGUUAGCAUUAUCGCAAGAAAGAAACAAUUGACACGUGAUUACUUUAAUACGAUUUAUGAAUUAUAAAAUACACAUAACCGUGUUAACUUUUCUCCAUCCUCGACUUCUUGUUGAAUGAACACGUUUUCAUUCAACAGCUUUAUCAUCCCAAGAAUGCAAAAAUUUGAAAUGAAUCGUUUAGUUAUAUCAACAGAUCAAAUCAACAACUUGUAAAUUGACAACAAAAUGUAUUGAAAAGAAUAUAUGUACAAAUUAUUUGAGUCAUGUGCAAGUAAAACUGAAACAUAAGUUAUAUAUACAAUAAGAACUCGACACAACUGGAGAAAUAGAUAAUAAGCUUAUUAUAACUCGGCCAACAUUGAGAAGCUUACUAUGUUAACUGCGAUGAUCAAGCUUCUCAAAUUUGUUCUUCACACACACACACACACACACACACAUCUAUGUAUAUACUUGUAUGUGUGUGUAUAUAUGUAUGUGUAUGUGUAUGUUUCUGAACCCUACCUUUGCCCUUGUACUUUACAGACCCGACAUGCCAACUAAAUUUACCACACUUAUAUAGGAAUCUUUCAAGUGAUUUCUUUCCUAUCUAUAAUUGAUUAUGUAAUACUUACACAGAGAAACCAUUGAAAUGAUAAAACCAAAAUUUUUGUGAUCUUUAUUUACUUGUCUGUACUUUGAAUGACAUUCUAGUUGCACCAAAACUUACACAAUUUUGACUUCUGAAAUACAAUCUUUGAUGCCUAUACAAUCUGAACAUUAUGGUAGACAUCUUCCUAAACAUAUAUGGCCCUGUUACACCUGUUCAGAAGCUUAGAAUCUAAAAGAAUUAUUUUUCAAUUUCUGAGAACCAACGCGGCCACGCUGGUUUUGCCUUUCGACAACAUACCAAGACACUCUGUUUUUUGCAUAUUUCGGAAUUCCAACACCAACACUUGGUAUCAUGAAUUAUAAUCACCAUAUUAUCAAUUCAAACUCUUAGAAACAACUCUACUUCAAUUCUUAACAUACAUAUGUUAUGUAUCUUCUAAUUUUCAAAGGUUUAGAUAGUAAACUUCUUUCAAACAUUAUAUCACAUAUUUGGUGGGCAAAAAUUUAUAAGUUUAGUUUUAUAGAGCUUUUAAUAUACUAUAAUCCCAAAUUUCAUACACAUUCUCUGAGCAUCUAACAACCAAUUCAAUCAACACAAAACUAAUACAGAGAAUUUUUCAAUCAAUCGCACCAUCUAAUACUCAUAGCCAUAUACCCCUUUCAUGUAUAACCUUUAUCUAAUAAAAUCAUGAGCAGAUGUAUUCCUCACCUCUUGAUUUAGGAUGAUUCCAAUUUCCUUUAACUUUCAACGUUUAUUCCUCAACAACUCAAAGGUUAAAUGAAGGAAAUUGAAAGUGCAGUGUAUCAAGAGUUAGGCUAAAUAAAGGAAAUUGAGACUGAAAGUUUGGUUUAUAUAAGACUGCCAUAUCUUGCUCCUUACAUUAUAGCUCUGUUGAAUCCUUGGGGUCAUAAUAAUAUGCCAGCUCUUGCUAGGUGUGCUUGAAAAAUUCUCAGCAUCCUAGCUCAUGCUUAUUAGAUUGAUGACUCGGUUCGUUUAGCUUGGCCAUAUAUAAUCUCAAUUCAACCAGUAUUAAUAAGUUAUGGAGUGCAAAGAGAAAGUUAGAAUUCCUUUCACAUGCAACUCGUAACUCCUAUAUUCACCACGUUCUCAUACUUUGUCUCCUACAAAGAUCAUUUGUUGUCUCCUACGGGUGCUUUAAGAAAACUCUAAAAACUACAACGAUGCCACAACUUAUUCAAGCAUCAGUCUCAGCUACUUAUAAAGUUGAAAAAAAUGAAAUUGUUAGCUCAUUUAUAACAAUUAGAAAAUAUUCAACUAUUCCAUUUAAAACAUGUGCACAGACCUAACUACUCCAAUAACUUUUUGCAUAAAUAUUUAGGCUAUAUUAAAUACCUUUUAUUCCAAAUAACAUAUCGCAAAAAUUUCUUAAUGAAAGAAUCAUAAUUAGCACUCAUAAACCCAACAGUAAAACCCUUCAAAAUAACCGAAUAAAAAGUACAGAUUUUAUAAAAAUCUUUGAAACGUCCCUGAUUUUUACUUGAUGAUGCUAAACAGUAUGACCGCAAAUGAUUUUAAAUAUCUUAAAGUAUCCGUGUUUCACCAAAAAAUAUACGGUAAAACUAUGGAAAAGAAACAAAAUCAGAUGAACUAAAAUCACUGAAAACACAUUACCAAAUUCUACUGUGUGUCACCUAAAAUACUAUUUUCAAAAAAUUAAUUGGUCAAAACUCACGAAAUAUGAGUAGGAGAACAGAUAGCCUACAAUGCUCAUGUACCAAAAUCUCUCGACACUCCCACUAAUAUGACAUAAUAAUACAAAAUCUAAGCAUACAUAUAAGAGAUAUCUAAUGUGAAACUUCUAUAAUAUGUUCUAUUCAGACAUCCCCAAUCAAGCCAUGUGAUUUAUAAACUGUAAAGUAAAGUAAAAUUUCCAUUCAAAGAACCACAAUAACAAAAAACAGAAAUAGAAAAUGCUAAAAAAAUCAACAGUUUGCACCAUUGUGCAAAGUCUAGAGAAAACAAAACCAUUAGCCUCAUUGACUACUAAUUAAAAUUUUCAAGAAAACAGGAAAUAAAAACAGAAGACUUAAAAAAAUAAAUGUAUGUCUCUAGGAAAACCAAAAACCCAUCAGCUAAAACUCAGAAUGUCACAAAAAACACUAUGAACGAUCAUUUUCUUCAGGUACGUUGUGAAUCCAUAUGAUUAGCAAAAUUAAGAGACUCAUAUACAGCAAGUGCAAACUCAUAAAUAGAGUCAUGUAUACACAUUAUUACACAUUGUUGUACAAAAAUCUACAAAACCCGCAAAAGGUAAAAGGUAAAACAUAAUGGGCUUACUUCAAAAAUCAACAAAACCCAGUCGAGCUAAAAGUGAAAAUAAUGGGGUUUGCUUUAAACAUGUAUAAAACCCACAAAAGCUAACAAAAGCUUAAAAACAUAAAGGGGCUUGUUUCAAAAAUUUACAAAACCAACAAAAGCUAAAAGCCAAAACAUAAUGGGUUUGAUUCAAAAAUCUAUAAAAAAAACUAAAAUAAAAUGGGGUUUGCUUCGAAAAUCUACGAAACCCACAAAAAUCUAACAAAACCUUAACAACACAAAGGGUUUUUUUUAAAAGCAAUAAACCGAAAAAAAGCUAAAAACGUAAAGAAAAAGAGGCUUACCCUGGUAGAGGAAUAUCAGAACUAACAGCAGAAGCAACCAUGAAUUCCACAAAUAGGGAAAAAGAGAUAAAGCAAACACAAAGAAGAGAGAAGAAAUGUUGUGACCAUACUACAAAUCCAAAAGGGAAUCCAAAGAAAUCAAUAGAAAUGGAAAGAAAUCUUUCUCAUUCAAAGUCCCCAUUAUUGAACCAAAAAACAAAAACAGUAAUUUGAUUUUCUACAAAUUUCUCACCGUUUCUCAUUUCCUCUAUGAAUUACCAUGAUUUACAAUGACUAAUUUGUUCAAGUGAAUUGUGCAUAAUUUCAAGUUUGAAAUCCACGCCUUCUUAAUGUACCUUGAUACUCCACAUGAGACUUUUGCAAUUAAAAAAUCAAUUUUAUGUGCCUCUUUUUAUUGCCAUCAAUAUAUGCUAAGAAUAUAAUUCCAGAACAUUAUAUACGUGUAUGCAGAACUUACAAAAUUUUCAAAUUUGUCAAGUUUGCAAGCUGUGCAGGAAUUCCUCUCGUAAGAUAAUUAUUAUUUAGAUACCUGCACACUUGAGUUGAAGGCGAACCACAAAUAACUAUAUGGGGAAAGUGAAUAUCAUUUGAAAUAGUUCAAAUUUCAUUGACUUACAGGUUGCGAAGAACUGGAAAGCACCCCUCAAUACGAAUGAGUUCCCUUAAAAAUAGUUGAACCAACACCUAAUAAAUUUAAGAAUAAGCUACAUAUUAUAAAGAUGAUAGAGCAAGUGCAUAAAACUAAAGACAAUAUCAAAAGAUAAACAGGAAACCAAAAUUAGUAAACAGGAUAAAAUAUAAGCAUCCACAAAAGCCACAAAGGGAACCAAAAUUACAUGAAAUGCAAUGAUUUUAGGUUGAUAAGUGUGGGCAUACAUAAUUAGACUUAUUGAAAAAAGAAAAUAAUAAAUUAAUCUCCUUACAAACAACAAACUGAGGAAUCUCUUUGAAAAAAUCCACAAUACUAUGAAACCAAGAAAAUACACCCAAAAUUAGAACCACAAAUUAUCAAAAAGUAACAGAAAAACAAAAAUUCAGUAGUUAGAACAUUACUUUAGCUUUGCAAUUCUCAAUAUCUAGCAUAAGAUAAACCCAUUUGUAUAUCAAAAAAUUCGUUACAUGCUCAGUAUUUACGUAAAACAUUAAAUUGACAGCACCAAGCAAAAUAUAGUUUCAUGUCGCCACCACUAUUGACAAAAUUUAACUGAGAUCUAAACCUACCCUAUGAGAAAACAAACCACCAGAAGCAUGAAAACAACAUGUUGAUACAAAACCAUGCCCUCACAACUCAACUGAAAUCCGAAUUCAAAACUAAGAAAAGUUCUGCCCCAAAUUCAAUUCCAAAGCAUGAAUACAUGCUCCCAGAAGCAACCCAAGUAGAUAUAAAAGAAGAAAUCACAGCACAGCUAGACAUAUCAAAGCUCUGGUUUACUUUCAAUAAUUUAGCCAAGAACAAAAAAAAUGAAAACACCUAAUACAAUUACUUUAGCAAACCCAUAAACAACAAAGUUAACAAAUUAGUUUACGGAAAAUAAAAUAUUUACUGCUCCAUACACACCUGCAAACCUUUUAUCAAAAAGAGAACUUGGACAUUCUAGAAAUUGCAUUAAUCAUGUCAAAUAAACAAACAAAGCUCUGAAUGCCUGAUCAGCCAUAAUAAACAUCAUCCAAAUGUACCCAAAAAAAUGAUUUUACAACAACCUAUUUUCCAAUCAUCUACCAAAAAAUAUUACCACUUUUAAUAAACUAUGUUCUUAAAAAUACAUAUAAUAACAGUUACCUUGUAGAUCUGUCAAGCUCUUCCAUGUCUUCGGUACAUAAACCUUUGAAAAGAAAGGCUAUCCAUCGGCAACGUUCACGGCCAACAAAUAUUGUUUGUAACAAAAAUCUAUUAUUUAUAAGAGAAAGCAAAAUGUUAGUAGUAUCGCAAGAAAGAAACAAUUGUUACGUGAUUAAUUGAAUACGAUUUAAGAAUUAUAAAAUACACAAAACCGUGUUAACUUUUCUCCACCAUCGACUUCUUGUUGAAUGAACACGUUUCCAUUCAAUAGCAAUAUCAUCCCAAGACUGCAAAAAAUUGAAAUGAAUCGUUUAGUUAUAAUUCUCUAGGUGCUACAUUUAAGCAGAAGAAGAAGGUUAUGGAGCUAUAUAAAUUGUUUGAAGGGAAAGGCUCCAAUGUAGAGAACUUUGUCGAGUACUAGUAGUAAGGCUGUAAUUUCCUGUCGAGUACUGGUAGUUAGGCUAUAAUAAAUCACGCAUCACAAAUUAUUCAGUCUUGGUAGUAAGGCUGUAUUUCCUGUAAAAUAAACUAAACAGUUCGGGUUUGAUUUGUACUUGAUCGAUUAAAAGUUCGAUUCUAAAUAUGAACAAUUCGAAUAAUAAUAAUGUUUUGAAAAAUUAUAAAACACUAAUGGCGCAGGUCCCUCGGCCCAUUUUAUGGUAAUAAUAAAUACAUUAAAUUUAAAUUUGGAUAUCAAGGCUCUCUCUUUUCAUUGUCUUUUUAAUAUAGUCUUGUUACACAUCACUACAAAUUUAUGUUAAUACCAAUUUAACUUCAUAAAAAAUUUAUUGAUAUAUAAAUCAUUUAUCUUUAACAUAUAAUUCAGAGUUGUACAGGUUUUUAAUGUAUGUAUGCAUAUAAAUCAUUAAGAAUACAUCUUUCAUUUGUAAAAUUACUUGCAACGUUCUUCUUAAAUCUGUUUAUUUUACUUGUAUUUGUGCUUGCUCUGCUCCCCCUAAUUUACCUACAGGAAAAAGUUCAUCCAUAGAAUUACAACUAAUACACUAAAUAAAAUGGCCUUAAUAAUAGAAUUAGCUUUUUUGCAUAGUACGGUCUGUAUUAGUGCACUACCUAUACAUUUGGGUUAAAAGUAACUAAUAAACAAUUCUCCUCUGGGUUAAUGAGUUAUAUUCAUACCCAUUUAAAAUUACCCACACAUCUAAAAUUAUUACAUAUUAUAGGUCUAAUCAAUCCAUUUGUCACCUCUAGUCACAUUCAUAAGAGAAGUUUAUAAACUUACAAUAUUAUUAAAUUGUACUCUUUCAGAAUUGCAUCUUAGGUGUAUAUUUUUAAUAUGACAAUGAAUCUUAUAAAAAAAUAAAAAUAAUUGUAAAAAAUAUAUUCUCCUAAUCCAACUGCUACGGAAAACAUAGGUGAUCGACAUGCCUUAGAACGUAAUUUUUAAUACAAUUUUAGUUGAGAAAUUAUUUAGAUAAAUUUGAUGUCUAGCAAAAUGAUUCGUAAUAAUAACUUCUCACUUUUUCUUAUAAUUAUAUUCUAAUAUUUCAAUUUUCUUUUUAACAUAUUAGUUCCUUGAUGAUUUUCAAUGAAAAAUUUACCUUUUUAAUCCUAUGUGAUUUUGCAUAUAAAAAGAGAGCUAUUAUUACCGGCCAGUCACCUUUAGUCUUUGGUUUAAUAGAAUAGGACCUUGCUUGUAUAAUAUAUGUGUACAUGGUUGUGUGUGUGUGUUUCUGUAUGUGCACGUCUGCAAGAAAAAGAGGUUAAAUAGUACAUAGCAUAAAUAUGACCUAGCCAAUUAUUGCAGGAAUACUGUGAUUUCAAAGAGAGAGAAGUAAUUUCCAACUUCAUAAAUGAUAAACCUGAAAGUGAAGAAUAAUAGGCUUCACUAAUCUUGUAUUGUGAAAGAACUCAUAGUAGCUGCCACCCUUCUGCAUUUGUUUGCAUUCCUACAAACCAAUAAUAUGUCAAGCCAAGGGUAAACCAAUAUAUGAUAGCAAUGAUAUGAAUGUUGUGAAAGAAUUUGGCGGAAAGCUUUCCACUUGCUUUCUCCUUAUUUUCUAUCUCUAUCUCUCUCACGAACGCAGUGUUGAAUCAUCCGAGUUUUCUUCUACAUCUCCCUCCCAAAUUUCUCUCUGUAAUUCUCUGGUUUCUCUUUAUUUCUAUCUCUAUAUCUUUGUCUCUCUCAUAUUUUCUAGUUAGGCUACAUGCAGGGCCUGACAUAAUACUAACAUAAUAACCAUCCGAGAAAGGAAAUCCAAUUUCAUAGAAUCGAUUGGAAGGAGAAUGAUGAUGAAAACAAAUGCUGCCAAAUGACCUACCUUAUCUACAGCUUCGCCCGAUAAAGGGAUGUUCUCAUAAUUUCUGUACUGUUCUAGCCUUGUCAAUCUGUAGCUUUCCCGCGUUAUAUUCAGCCUUUCCCAAGGAAUACCCUGAAUAUCUUUACAUUUAUGGUUCCAAUCAAACCGUAGCAAAUAAGUUUGUACUAUAAAGCAGGGGUAGUCGAGAUUACCAUUUCUUGAGAAUGAGACAAAAAACUUAAUGCUCUAAAUUUCUAUCAACAUACAAGAUUUCGGUAUCCCAUAAAAUAUAUACUCCAAGGCACCAUUACAAAUUAAAAUAAAAUAGUAGUAAUAAAUAAAUACACUGAAGAAUAGCUUAUAUCACCCACAGUAAAAUAACACCUGAGAUUUAUAAUAAAUAAUAAUAAUCUGAAAAUGAAAUUGAACCUCUAAGUUAAAACCAAUAAUAGUAGCAUCGGCAACCCACCGAAUCUCAAAGAGCAAAAACCCAACAAAGUGAUAGGAUAUCCACAACUUCUAUCUGAAAACAAAGUGUUCUAUCCAUACGAAUUCGUAUAAUAUAAAGCUGAUUAUUCAAUUAAUAAGAGAGUUCCAAAAAAAAUGAAUUUGCCACUAUACCCAACAAAGCAGAAAUACCCAUUACCAAGAACCCAAAGAGUGAGAAAAAAUUUCAAUUCCAAAAUAGAUCAGCAAUAUAAAGUCCUUAAAACUAAAAACAUAAAUUUUCAAUUAGAUUCAAGCAAGUAAUCCACAACCUCAUAACAAACCAUCACUUCAAAAAACAAAAUCAAACAAAAAGUAACCCAAUAAAAAUCAUACUGAAUUAACAACCACAAAUGCACAUUAAAAUCAAAUUUUCCCAUACCAAAAUAACCCAAAAAAGAUUAAGCGUGACUGAACCCAGAUGACAACCCAUAGACACAAUCAAAAAGCCCAACAAAACAAAACCUAAUCUUUAGAAGAUAGUCACAAUCACUAAUAAUCAGAAACCCACACAACAAAAAGAGCUUAAAUCAAUGUUGACAUUGUAUCUAUUAUAUAAAUGCAGUUUAAGAAAGAAACAGAGUAAGCCACAUAAAUCAAAUAAAGUAUUAGACCUUUAAAAUUUUGAAGUACCUUUUUAGUUCACAAAUUGCUUAAUCGCAUAAUUAGAAUCCAAAUAAAUCAUAGCAGAAACUUCAGUGAAAUAAAACAAAUGAUUGUAGAUGCAUGCCAAAUUCCUUUUUCUUCUUCAGGUCAUGUUCCUUUUUUAUUAUAUUGUGGAGGUCUUAGGAGAGGAUUUAGUGUCUGCUUGGUCAUACUCAUAUUAGGCUUUCUAUCCAUUACUGCUUGGUCAUACGAAAAUUAUACAAUAAUACUCUAUCCUUUAUUUUUAUUUGUUUUAUAUUAUAAUCUAUUAUUAUCGUUUGUUUGUCAAGUUUAAACCAAUAAUGUGCACCUUCUUUAAAUGAAUCACAUUAAUUUUUGUAUAUUAUAGUUGCAAGUUAAAUGCAGUAAGAAAUAUAAGUAAUAAAGUAGUAGAAUAUAUGUUUGAUCAUUUUAUUUAAUUUGAAUGGACAUUAUUGGGAUGGUAAUUAUGGUAUUAGUUGGUUGGAGUGGACUAAGCUGAACCAAAAGCACAGUUUAUUGAUUCACUUUGAGACACAAACGAUGGGAUCGGUAUAUUUUAAUUUCCACUUUGUAUAUAACAAUUGAUUUUAAAAAGUUAAUUGCACAUCUUUUCUAUCCAUUUAUUUUCAGUGAUUCCUAAUUGAAGCUGGAGUCAUUGACGGACAGACUGACUCCAUCUUUCUUUCUUAGUUACUCCAAUAUCGUCUUUAUAUAGACAAUAUUAUUUAAUUAUAGUAGUAUUUGUUUAGUGUUUUUUUUAAAACAUUGUUAUAAAAUUAACAAAUAUUAUAAAGUCUAUUCAUAGUAUCAUUGAUUUAGAUACUCAACUUUACAACAGAAUAACAACGCAUCCAAGAUUAACUUAAAUCUUAAAGGUAUUGCUAAAGUUGACCUCUAGGUAAUGUCUAGCAUAUUACCAACUUAAUUUCUACCAUCUAUACUUUGUCUUAAAGGUAUAGAUAUUACCUAGUCCUUAUCAUCGAGUAAUUUUCAAUUUUUACACAUGUUGACCUCUUUGGGACAAAUUUUCAAACACCCUAAGGGCAUAACCUAUAAUUUCAAAAUUCAUAGAGGUUUAGGCAUGGUUCUAGCCCAAAAAAAUCAUAUUAGUCCUUCACAACACAUAGUUUCCCGACCAAGCACAUCAAUUUCAGAAUAACAAACAUUAUGUAAACUUUCAAUUUCCAUAAAAUUAACCAAAUACAUGGCUUACCUUACAAAAGAUUAGUUUGAUGUAGUCUUAGCUUGAUAACCAGUUUAUGAAAUCUUCCUUUACUGCUGUUGAUCUUAAUCCCUUUCCACGUUAGCUUGCCACUUCAAUUCUUUAAUGCCUUCAUUAGUUCCAACCGAAAUUAUGAGGAUUUUGAUGAAGGUUUGGGAGUUUUGGAAACUUGAAGCACAAAGGGUUUUUUAAAAAAAUCAACAAAGAUUUGAAGAAGCAAGCAAAAGGGAAUCCAAAAAAUCAACAGAAACCCUUGUUUUAGGGUGGAGAGAAUGAAGAAGAAGCGACUGAAGUUUGAAAUCCCUUCCGUGUUUUCGUGUUUUUAUCCGAAGGGUCAGAACAGAACUGUGUUUAAUACCUAAAUAUGAAGGGUUAACUCAUUGUAAACUCACGACUGAAGUUUGAAGGGUCAGAUUUAUCCGAUCUUUUUAACGGUCCCGAUUUUUUAAUAGCCUUGAGCGGGAAAUUAUUUUUUUAAAAAACAGUUGUGUUUUGUAUAGAUAGAUUAAUUGUGCUAAUUAUAACUAAUAACUUAAACUAAACUGGUAUUGUUGUCUUUGUUGCAGCUUAUAUGAAUAAAUUUUAAUCAGAUUGUUUCUUAAAUAGGAAUGAUCCAGAAGUUUUUAGAGGGUGACUAUAAUAUCUUCAAGGAAAAUUACUUAAACUCUGUUAUGUCCUAGAUAAUUUGAUUCCCAAUAAUCUAACUAUGACACUCUCUAUGCUGAAAUCCAAUCUAAACUACACUUUAUAAAUAACUACUUAAAUCGAAAGGACUUUUUUUUUAAUUUACUUUCCAGCUAUUAUAUAUUAGUCAUAUUAACCCAAUUACUUAGUUGCUCUAAGUAAUCUUUAUGACUUAUUAUUACAUGCUUUACCUUAUUACUUUCAAUCAGUACCCCAAUCACAACCUUAUUCAGAAGAGCAUGCGAGUCGGAUCAGCUUACUUUGAAAAUUUAGAUUCUCCAAAACCUCUUUGCACGAGAUAACAGUUACUACUUGCUAAUCAUGACAUAUUUCUCAGGGAUCAAGCUGGAGCUGUGUAUGUUAAGUUGGCACAAUGUCAUAUAAAGGUAAGUGCUUGAUCUUGAUUGUUAUAGAUGCUCCCCUCCUUUCCUUCCCUAUUUUCUUGUCUUUUUUUUAGUGUGUUUCAAAAUCGUAUUGUACUAAAGGCUUAAAAAAACACUUAUCCUUUUGUGGUUACAGUUGGAUAUCAAACAUGAAGCUGCUAAUGCUUAUGCUGACGCUGCCCAUUGCUAUAAGAAGACAAAUACUAAAGGUUCUAAUCUAUUAAGCAAUUCUACCUCAAUAUGUAACAUACAUAUAGAUGUAUCUUCAAUUCAAAACUUUAGAAGCAAUUCUACCUCAAUAUGUAUGCUGCUGGUACACGCUGCUACCUCAAUUCUAC
rnacentral:lncRNA from 1 species